CACACACACACACAGAGUUAUAUAAAGCCAAAAUUGCUUUUAUAGAGAAAAUGCACAUAUAUUUUUUAACAGAAAAAUAUUGCUACCCUGAAAAAUUCUACAUUUUCUCUAUAAAGGCAAAUUUACUCAAAUAGAAUGAUUAACUGGAAGUAUCACUAUUUUAGGAGUUCUAAGAAAUAUGGUCAAGGGUCACAAGGGCCAAAAACAUAGCUCAGCAUAGCUCAGUGAGUGUGAGGCUCUAGGUUCAAUCCUUAGUACCGCAUAAAAACAAACAAACAAACUAAACCAAAUCUCACCAACAUUUUGACUAAAACAAACCCUACUGAUUGCUAACAAACUGUUCUAUGCUUAGAAGUGCAUUUUUCUAAAGUUGAGAUUACAUGAAUACACUUAAAAAAUUAUGUUGUCCUUGCAUUGUUCAACAUACUACCUGAUCACCAGAAACUUGGCCAGUGACUAAUCUGGAAAAAAUAUGGAAUAUAUUAUAAAUAGAAAUCACUUUCAAAUGAAUAAAUUUUCAUUUCUUUCUCAGGCCCUAAAAAAGAUAACAGGCUUUUCCUAAAAAGCAUAUUUAAUAAAAUUUAAUACAAAUUGUGUGCUAUUUUAGUAAUCACUUCAACUUUUAUCCUUAAAAUGUGUUUAUGAAUAAGAUCUGUGAUUUCAACCUCAGCAACAUAAACUUGACAAUUAACCUUUCAAUAUUAAAAAAUAAUGCAAUGACAAUCCCAAUUUCAAAGCUAACAAAGAAGUACAAUUAAUGUAUAAGUAUUUUUACAAAAUAAAGCACAAUAUUACUAAGGUCUCAAGAUGAUGACACAUC
rnacentral:lncRNA from 1 species